GACGAAGGGGACUAGCGUUGUUCGGAAUUACUGGGCGUAAAGCGAGUGUAGGUGGUUGUCAUAGUCAGGUGUGAAAGCCUUGAGCUCAACUCAAGAAAUGCACUUGAUACUGGGCGACUAGAGGACCGGAGAGGAUAGUGGAAUUCCCAGUGUAGUGGUGAAAUACGUAGAGAUUGGGAAGAACACCAGUGGCGAAGGCGGCUAUCUGGACGGUUUCUGACACUAAGACUCGAAAGCGUGGGGAGCAAACAGG
rnacentral:rRNA from 1 species